UACGUAGGAGGCGAGCGUUGUCCGGAAUUACUGGGUGUAAAGCGCGUGUAGGCGGUGAGUUAAGUCUGUUGUGAAAGCGCCCGGCUCAACCGGGCAGAGUCAAUGGAAACUAGCGCACUGGAGGUCGGUAGAGGCGAGUGGAAUUCCCGGUGUAGUGGUGAAAUGCGUAGAGAUCGGGAGGAACACCAGUGGCGAAGGCGGGUUGCUGGGCUGACACUGACGCUGAUGCGCGAAAGCUAGGGGAGCGAACGGG
rnacentral:rRNA from 1 species